rnacentral:rRNA from 1 species
AUUGAACGCUGGCGGAAUGCUUUACACAUGCAAGUCGAACGGCAGCACGGACUUCGGUCUGGUGGCGAGUGGCGAACGGGUGAGUAAUACAUCGGAACGUGCCCAGUCGUGGGGGAUAACGUAGCGAAAGCUACGCUAAUACCGCAUACGAUCUAAGGAUGAAAGCGGGGGAUCGCAAGACCUCGCGCGAUUGGAGCGGCCGAUGGCAGAUUAGGUAGUUGGUGGGGUAAAGGCCUACCAAGCCAACGAUCUGUAGCUGGUCUGAGAGGACGACCAGCCACACUGGGACUGAGACACGGCCCAGACUCCUACGGGAGGCAGCAGUGGGGAAUUUUGGACAAUGGGCGCAAGCCUGAUCCAGCCAUUCCGCGUGCAGGAUGAAGGCCCUCGGGUUGUAAACUGCUUUUGUACGGAACGAAAAGGCUCUGGUUAAUACCCGGGGCUCAUGACGGUACCGUAAGAAUAAGCACCGGCUAACUACGUGCAAGCAGCCGCCGUAA